CAAAGCCCUCUUUAUUCUAAGGUUACCUGGCAUUGCAUAAGAGCCAAGCGGGCAAAUUAAAUUCCUUCUAUUCAGCCUUGCAGAGAGGUGAAAAAACUCAUCUCCUGGCUGGCAGUAUUUGUUGUUGGCUCUGCCCUUUCCAGUGGCAGGCAGUUGGGCAUCCAAUAGCCAGAUCGGUCAAGAGUACUGUUUUUUUUAUAUUUAUUUAUAUCUGGACUUUAUUUAAUUCCUUCAAGAUUUUCUGAAUUAAUUUUAGGCCCUGUGUUUGUGUAAUUAGACUAAUUUCCACAGCUAUGAUUCCAUUUAUGACCUUGUAUUUCUCUGUCUCCAAAAGAACUUGUAUCUAGGAUGACCAUAGCAUCAGGGUUAAAGCCGAGCAUGAUGGCUCACGC
rnacentral:lncRNA from 10 species